CGGGGGGAAAAACUUUUUUUUAAUGGGGGAAGAUAAUGACGGUACCUCAGGAAGAAGCCCCGGCUAACUACGUGCCAGCAGCCGCGGUAAUACGUAGGGGGCGAGCGUUUUCCGGAAUUACUGGGCGUAAAGGGCGCGCAGGCGGCCCUUUAAGUCGGACGUGAAAGCCCCGGGCUCAACCGGGGAAGGGCGGUUGAAACUGCGGGGCUGGAGUGCGGGAGAGGGGGGCGGAAUUCCCGGUGUAGCGGUGAAAUGCGUAGAUAUCGGGAGGAUUACUCGCUGCGGAAGGCAGGCUGCCUGGACCGCUACUGAC
rnacentral:rRNA from 1 species